rnacentral:lncRNA from 10 species
GACAGUUUUAAAAAUGGGAGUUUUCCUGCACAAGCUCUCUCUCUUUGCCUACUGCCAUCCAGGAAGACGUGACUUGCUUCUUCUUGCCUUCCACUAUGAUUGUGGGAAGGCCUCCCCAGUCAUGUGGAACUACCCCAGAAUGGUAGAUCCACUGACAGCUUGCACCAUGUGACUGGAAAAGCCACAGACUAUCAACGCCAGCCUGUGAAAGCAGCUGGGAGAGAGGCUGUACCCUGCAAAACCACAGGGGCGGAGCUACCCAAGACCAUGGGAACCCAUCUCUUGCAUCAGUGUGACCUGGAAAUGAGACACAGACUCAAAGGAGAUCAUUUUGGAGAAUUAAGAUUUGAGUGACCAGCUGGAUUUCAGGUGCUGUGUGAAGAAUGGAAACAUGCAACAAUAAAGACACCAGUCCUGGUGGACCUGAUGGCCUAUGUCUGGUGUGGCGGGGGACAGAUAAGUAAACAGAUCGUCCUAUACGGGGUAGCCAACGCUAUCAUCUGAUAGAAAAUUUGGAUUAAUGAAUGACGUAACUGCUUCAGGGCAACACACCCUCACUGCAGCUGCUUAGCCCAGGAAGCAGCAAGGUCAAUACAAGGAGAGCCACAGGCCUGGGGAGAUGCAUGCCUUCCUUCCUGGCCACGUGGAUCUCACUACUUAGCCCAGAUGGCCUGCGAGAAGGACAAAGCCAAGCACUUCACAACACUGUCAGUUGCUGUCCUGAAGAAGGUGGCCAGGAGCUCUAGAAGGAUUCAAAGCCCCAGGGAUUUUUGGUUUUUAUGUAUACACUUCUCUUUACAUACUUGUUCCUCAACAUCCAAUCAGCCUUGCAGGUUUGUCCCCGCUCCUAGCAUUCAGAAACACUCAAGAGCAGGGUGGGUCAGAGCUCUCCACCACAUACGCAGCAGAGUGAAAGAAGCUGCCCUGCAGGACAGCUCCAGGCUCAUGGCCACCCCUCCUCACAUGCAUACCUCCUCCUCUUCCACCAAACAACAACAAACUCCUUCAUGUAGCAUUCACGCCCUCCUCUUGUGGCCUCUACCUGCCAUCCCACACCAAUCCCUUUUUAUGUCCCCACAGGUACCCAGGAGUCUCCCCUAACUAAAUUCCCCACUGCUUCUCCAAAUCACCCCAAUCCUACUUCCCACUGAAACUAACAAGAAGGGAAGGAAGGUGUUAACAAAUGAAGUCUUCGAAGGAAGUCACCCCAAGAAUCUGGGCCUACUAGUCAUUCCCUAAGGCUCAGCUCUUGGCAUUUGCUUCGUUCCCUGGGCCAUUAUUUUCAUACUGUGAAGAAAUUUCACCCUAGUCCCAUUUUGGAGAGCAAGUGUUGGUACAGUGCUGGGUAAAGACCCUGACACCAGGUCCUGGUCCCUGGCCCAGAGCAGGGGAUAUGAAGGGAAGCCCCACUCACUGUGUGCUCCCUCACUGACUCCUCAAAGGAAUUCCAGGAAGGGUGCUUUAGUGACCCUUUGGCUCACAGAGUUAGAGUGACCUGCCCAAGGCCACCCAGAGAAUGAAUGGUGGGACUGAGAUCACACCUGGGCCUGCCUGGCUGCCAAGCCUUUUGCUAUUUUCAUUAUUCCACAUUUCUUUCCAAGGAUACAGAAAGCAGGGAUAGGAAGUGCUGUGGAAACAAGCAAAAAGCCUUAUCCAUAGUCAGCAUCCAAAAAGUACUAUACCUUCUCUGACCCCUGCUUUAUUUAUUUGUUUAUUUUCAGGGAUGAUGUAAUAGCCAGAAAAAUAAGUGAACAGAAGAUUCCGGGUUCUACUUUAUGCCAAUUUUUCUUAAAUAUCUCAGUCACUAGAAAAAGAUCUAUUUGAAAAUCUUGCUCUGAGCAGUUUCUGUCUUGGGCCCAGUUGUUUGAGGAGCCUGUUGAAUUUUUAAAUUUAUUAGUGUUCCCAUGCUUCAUUCAUUGGCAUAUAUGUAUAUUCUCUAUACUUUAUAAUUACAAGUAAGCUCUUGAUAAUAAAAAGUAACUGUCAUUCUGUGAAGCUCUUUAAUGCAGCCAAAGAUAAUUUCAGGGGGCAAUUGGCAGUCUAAGUCCUUGCUUUCUCUCAUUUUAAAGGAGAACCAAAUCAACUUAGAGUGAAUUUGUUCAAAUGUGGGUAAGAUUUAACAGGCACUUCAGCUGCCCAGGGUACUUUUCCAUGUCUCUCCAACCAACCCCACCCAAAUAGCUUAGGAUUGGCAUUUUCUGAUGAGCACAGGGAUAGAGAAUGAGAACGGAGUCAGGUCCUCAGGUAUUCAAGGUUAGAAUUCCUUCUUAACCUUGCCCACUAUGCCCUAUGUGGGGACAUGCUACAGCAGAGAUCACUUGAGAAUUAUCCUGUGGCUCACACUGCCAUAAUUAGUUAUCUGUUCGGCACCUCUCAACUAAUCAGAACAAUGGCACAUCCAAAAGUAAAAGGAGAAGAAAGGAGACAAGAAUACAGCGACUGAAUAAUAAAA